GAUCAUAGUUAAAUCAGUUACCAUCGAUGAAUAUACACUCUAGAAACGGUUGGGUCAUUUUGUUGGGUUAUUUUAUUUCUUUUUAAACACUUUUGGGUAGUUUCAAAUUUACCACGUGUUGGGUUAAACCUGCUGGGUUGCGUCGCUGGGUUGUUUCAGGUCAGCGCUUGGGUUAUUUAACGCGCCUUGAAGAUCGCUCCCCAACUGUCAUUUUGGAAGAACAACGGGGCAAAGCCACGGCUUUCAACGGUUUUAAGAAAAGCACAUGGAUACACUUGUGAGAGAAAAACUCUUCGAGUGCAGUCUUAUUGAGGCAUCUAACGGUUGGAACAAACAUGGAAUUCUUUAACUGAGCAGAGUACACAAAACCCCAAUCAACUGUCGUGGCGAUUUAAAAAUGCC